CCUACGGGAGGCAGCAGUGGGGAAUAUUGGGCAAUGGAGGAAACUCUGACCCAGCGACGCCGCGUGCGGGAUGAAGGCCUUCGGGUUGUAAACCGCUUUCAGUAGGGAAGAAGCGAAAGUGACGGUACCUACAAAAGAAGCACCGGCUAACUAUGUGCCAGCAGCCGCGGUAAUACAUAGGGUGCAAGCGUUGUCCGGAAUUAUUGGGCGUAAAGAGCUCGUAGGUCGUUUGUUACGUCGGAUGUGAAAACCUGAGGCUCAACCUCAGGCCUGCAUUCGAUACGGGCAAACUAGAGUUUGGUAGGGGAGACUGGAAUUCCUGGUGUAGCGGUGGAAUGCGCAGAUAUCAGGAGGAACACCGAAUGGCGAAGGCAGGUCUCUGGGCCAAUACUGACACUGAGGAGCGAAAGUCUGGGGAGCGAACAGGAUUAGAUACCCUGGUAGUCCAGACCGUAAACGGUGGGCGACUAGUUAGUGGGUAACCGUUACCUACCGGUUACGUUGCGACGCGACGCGUACGUACAUAAGUUAGCCCGCCGUCGGGAGGUACGAGUCGCAGAUUAAACUACAAGGAAUUAGACGGCGUGAGACGUAGACGACGACGACGACGACGGAGGAGAG
rnacentral:rRNA from 1 species